rnacentral:rRNA from 1 species
AUCCUGGCUCAGGAUGAACGCUAGCGGCAGGCCUAACACAUGCAAGUCGAGGGGUAUAGUUCUUCGGAAUUAGAGACCGGCGCACGGGUGCGUAACGCGUAUGCAAUCUACCUUUCACAGAGGGAUAGCCCAGAGAAAUUUGGAUUAAUACCUCAUAGUAUAGCAGUUUCGCAUGAAACCACUAUUAAAGUCACAACGGUGAAAGAUGAGCAUGCGUCCCAUUAGCUAGUUGGUAAGGUAACGGCUUACCAAGGCAACGAUGGGUAGGGGUCCUGAGAGGGAGAUCCCCCACACUGGUACUGAGACACGGACCAGACUCCUACGGGAGGCAGCAGUGAGGAAUAUUGGACAAUGGGCGCAAGCCUGAUCCAGCCAUGCCGCGUGCAGGAUGACGGUCCUAUGGAUUGUAAACUGCUUUUAUACAGGAAGAAACACUACUUCGUGAAGUAGCUUGACGGUACUGUAAGAAUAAGGAUCGGCUAACUCCGUG